rnacentral:hammerhead_ribozyme from 1 species
AUUUAGUUGACGAAUCCCAAAUAGGACGAAAUGCGCAUCCUGAAU